rnacentral:rRNA from 1 species
UACAGAGGGGGCAAGCGUUGUUCGGAAUUACUGGGCGUAAAGGGCGCGUAGGCGGCCUGUUAAGUCAGACGUGAAAAUCCCUCGGCUUAACCGGGGAACUGCGUCUGAUACUGGAGUGGCUUGAGUUCGGGAGAGGGAUGCGGAAUUCCAGGUGUAGCGGUGAAAUGCGUAGAUAUGCGGAGGAACACCAAUGGCGAAGGCAAUCUCCUGGACCUGCACUGUCGCUCAUGCACGAAAGCGUGGGGAGCAAACAGG